UAGAUGCGAGAGUAGAGCAUAUCAAUAAGCGGAGGAAAAGAAACUAACAAGGAUUCCCCUAGUAACGGCGAGUGAAGCGGGAAGAGCUCAAAUUUGAAAUCUUCAAGGUUUUACCUUGACGAAUUGUAGUUUAAAGAAGUGUUUUCGGUUAGAGGAGUGGUAAAAGUUCUUUGGAAUAGGACAUCAUAGAGGGUGAGAAUCCCGUAUUUGACCAUUCUUUCUAGCUUUGUGAUACACUUUCAAAGAGUCGGAUUGUUUGGGAAUGCAGUCCAAAAUGGGUGGUAAAUUUCAUCUAAAGCUAAAUAUUGGCGAGAGACCGAUAGCGAACAAGUACCGUGAGGGAAAGAUGAAAAGAACUUUGAAAAGAGAGUUAAACAGUACGUGAAAUUGUCAAAAGGGAAGCGUUUGACACCAGUGUUGUUUUUCCGAAAAUCAAUUACGAAUGUUUUGUUUUUGAGGAGUUAUGACUUCAUCGGCUUGCUCCUUUCUUUAUGGAACUUUCUUAAUGCACUUUUCGGUUAACAAGUCAACAUCAAUUUCUUUUGUUGUAAAAGAGGUAUGAGGAAGGUGGCUUUCUUUUCGGAGAAAGUGUUUAUAGCCUUGUACCUCUGCAAUCGGAGAGAUUGAGGUCUGCAGCGUAGAUCCUUCGGGGUUAGAUACAUUUGUGCUAAGUUAUAGCUUUUCAUAGACAACUUGUUGACUAUGUUAAGUCUUGUAGCUUACUCGCUUAUGCUAUUUUACCUACGCUUAGGAUGUUGACGAGACUGUCGAUCUCAUCUAUACAUGACUCUGUAGCAUAUCAAUAAGCGGAGGAAAAGGUACCUACGCUUAGGAUGUUGACGAGACUGUCGAUCUC
rnacentral:rRNA from 1 species